rnacentral:rRNA from 1 species
GCCAGCCCGCUCAAGAACUUAAAGGAAUUGACGGGACCCCGCACAAGCGGUGGAUCAUGUUGUUUAAUUCGAUGAUACGCGAAGAACCUUACCAGGUCUUGACAUCCCCCGCGAUGCUUUAGAGAUAAAGCGGAGGUAUUCGGGAGACAGGUGGUGCAUGGUUGUCGUCAGCUCGUGUCGUGAGAUGUUGGGUUAAGUCCCGCAACGAGCGCAACCCCUAUUGCUAGUUACCAUCAUUAAGUUGGGGACUCUAGCGAGACUGCCAGUGAUAAACUGGAGGAAGGUGGGGAUGACGUCAAAUCAUCAUGCCCCUUAUGACCUGGGCUACAAACGUGAUACAAUGGCUGGAACAAAGGGAUGCGAAGCAGUGAUGUGGAGCGAAACCCAUAAAAACAGUCUCAGUUCGGAUUGAAGUCUGCAACUCGACUUCAUGAAGUCGGAAUCGCUAGUAAUCGCGGAUCAGAACGCCGCGGUGAAUACGUUCUCGGGGUUU